rnacentral:lncRNA from 1 species
UGUCAACUCAAGACCCCCAUUAAUCAUGUUACAACCCCAAAUCAAAACAUACGUAAAUUUAAGACCAAAAUGACUGAGGUAAGCCCUUUGAAAUUAAUUUGUAUAAUUCUUGUCUAUACGUCAUCAGGUGCACAUACGUAUUUAUAGACAAACAAAUUGUAUAAUUGAGGAAAAAUAAUAACUAAUCAUUCGUAUGUACGAUAUGCUAUUAUGUAAGGCCUUUAGUAAAACCCGUCUUUAUUAUGAGCUCUUAAAAAGACUUUGGGUGUAGACCUUAGUUAUCGGAUCCGCAAGCAUAUCAUGAAUGUAAUGUAUUCGAUACAAAUAAUUAGUUUCCUCUUCUUGUUCAUAAACGAACAAUAAUUUUGUAUCGAAGUUUAAUGCAGCACCUCUCGAACUGUUACUGUUCGAGGAAAUAAGGUAGCUGACUUUUCACAGUAAGUCUUCAAUAUAGUAUUUAUAUGGAGUUAAUAAGUUUAAGAGUCUACUGAUAAAAUUUCAACAACAUUUAGUGACAAUUGCGUUGUUAAUUAACAACAUAUUAUGUCAUUAUAAUUUA